UUUCCGUAGGUGAACCUGCGGAAGGAUCAUUAACGAAUAUAUGUCUGUUUUAAGACAUUUUUCUAUUUCAAACACCCGUGAAUUUUAUGAAAUUUUUGCUUUGGCUGAAAUUAAUAUAUAUAUAUAUUUUUUUCGGCCAAACGUUUUUAAUUAAAACCUUUUUAUUUAUAAACAUUUUGAAUCUGAAGACUGUUUUAUGAAAAAUUUAUUUAAAACUUUCAACAACGGAUCUCUUGGUUCUC
rnacentral:misc_RNA from 1 species